AUUGAACGCUGGCGGCAGGCCUAACACAUGCAAGUCGAGCGGAUGAAGGGAGCUUGCUCCUGGAUUCAGCGGCGGACGGGUGAGUAAUGCCUAGGAAUCUGCCUGGUAGUGGGGGAAACGUCCGGAAACGGGCGCUAAUACUUCCUACGUCCUGGGGGAGGAAGUGGGGGAUCUUCGGACCUUACGCUAUCAGAUGAGCCUAGGUCGGAUUAGCUAGUUGGUGGGGUAAAGGCCUACCAAGGCGACGAUCCGUAACUGGUCUGAGAGGAUGAUCAGUCACACUGGAACUGAGACACGGUCCAGACUCCUACGGGAGGCAGCAGUGGGGAAUAUUGGACAAUGGGCGAAAGCCUGAUCCAGCCAUGCCGCGUGUGUGAAGAAGGUCUUCGGAUUGUAAAGCACUUUAAGUUGGGAGGAAGGGCAGUAAGUUAAUACCUUGCUGUUUUGACGUUACCAACAGAAUAAGCACCGGCUAACUUCGUG
rnacentral:rRNA from 1 species